AGUGAACGCUGGCGGUAGGCCUAACACAUGCAAGUCGAACGGCAGCACAGUAAGAGCUUGCUCUUACGGGUGGCGAGUGGCGGACGGGUGAGGAAUACAUCGGAAUCUACUUUUUCGUGGGGGAUAACGUAGGGAAACUUACGCUAAUACCGCAUACGACCUACGGGUGAAAGCAGGGAAUCUUCGGACCUUGCGCGAUUGAAUGAGCCGAUGUCGGAUUAGCUAGUUGGCGGGGAAAAGGCCCACCAAGGCGACGAUCCGUAGCUGGUCUGAGAGGAUGAUCAGCCACACUGGAACUGAGACACGGUCCAGACUCCUACGGGAGGCAGCAGUGGGGAAUAUUGGACAAUGGGCGCAAGCCUGAUCCAGCCAUACCGCGUGGGUGAAGAAGGCCUUCGGGUUGUAAAGCCCUUUUGUUGGGAAAGAAAAGCAGCAGGUUAAUACCCCGCUGUUCUGACGGUACCCAAAGAAUAAGCACCGGCUAACUUCGUG
rnacentral:rRNA from 1 species